rnacentral:lncRNA from 1 species
AUGCAUCUACAGCGACAAAAAAUAAUUUUAACAAGAAUCUAUUAAUAGGAAGAGAUUGCGUAAUCUUUAUUUUAUUAUCGACAAGUCGCGAUACCACAUCUCUGCGGAUCCAGCUGAUACCAACGGAGAAUGUUGUUAUGCGUAUAGGCUGUGAAAAAAAAUAAUUGCACAAGCAUACCAA